rnacentral:rRNA from 1 species
AUUGAACGCUGGCGGCAGGCCUAACACAUGCAAGUCGAACGAGUGGCGGACGGGAGAGUAAUGUCUGGGCAACUGACUGGUGGAGGGGGAUAACUACUGGAAACGGUAACCAAAACCGCAUACCAUCAGCUGUGCCCAGAUGGGAUGAGCUUGUUGGUGGGGUAACGGCCUACGAAGACGACGAUCCCUACCUGGUCUGAGAGGAUGACCAGUCACACUGGAACUGAGACACGGUCCAGACUCCUACGGGAGGCAGCAGUGGGGAAUAUUGCACAAUGGGCGAAAGCCUGAUGCAGCCAUGCCGCGUGUGUGAAGAAGGCCUUCGGAUUGUAAAGUACUUUCAGCGGGGAGGCGUUACCCGCAGAAUAAGCACCGGCUAACUCCGUGCCAGCAGCCGCGGUAAUAC